UGCUAAGCUCACUUAGACCUAUGAGUCUUCUAGCCCAGGAUUUUGACAUUGACCAGAGCGGGGCGGUCAGAGUGCGUUCCAAGAAACCCUGCAACAAGCAGUUAGGUUAUCCCUUAUCUCCAAAAAAGUUUCCAUUCCUCCCUCUGUAAUUAGAGGUUAGCUAACGCCUCAAAUCAUGAGAGUUUAUAUCUUUCCUGAGACCUCAUUUCAAAAAUAACUUUAAAUAUUUACUGCCGUAACUCUGGUCGUGCUCGUUACGAAAGUCCAAUCGUGGCUGGAGUUUUGCCAGGGUUUUAUUAUCUCUCAGCUUCAUCCCAUUUUCCUGCUGCAUGAUGAUCUAAGGGUGGGUGAGAGCAAUGAUUUAUACGAUAACCCAAAAAAAGAAUGGUAGCUGUUUUGGGAAAUCGUCAGAAAGCAACUAACUUUUCCUAUAUAUAGUUUUUUCCAUGUCAUGUAACUCACUGCAGCAGGAGCACAGGCUUUGGCAUUGCGUGGCGAGCCGUGGGUUUGUUUUCCACCCUGAUGGCUCUGUGUUGGUGGAGAUCCUGAGGCCGGGGCCCUCCUGCUAGCUGUGAUGUGCUGCUGGCCCGGAGCCACCCCAGGUGCUGGGGUCCGAGACCUGGUCUGGAGCAGCCCCUUCCCCAUUGCCUUCCCUUUCCUCUCUCUUCAUGCACUCAGGGUCGAUCUCCGGGGCAGAGCUGCAAACGUUGGCCUGCAGGGUGCAGACAAGAGGACCGGCGAAGACCCAGGCACGGAAAUAUUGGGGCUGUGAAAUUUUGGAAGGCCUGUGAACAGCAUGCUGGGGAGCUCGUGCAGCCUGGAGCAGCAAGGGCCCUGUCCAUUCCCAUAUCAAGAUGAAUAUUAUUUCCUUCGGCCAGGCCAUGUCGUUAUGGAAGAUACCUGGUCUUUCAGACUUCCUGAGAUUUACACAUCUACCACUUUCCUUGACAUAUACUUAUGAUCUGCUAUGCAGACUGGCUGAAUGUCAUUCCCAUCCCUGGACUCCUUCCUUCUCCUUUCCUUUCGGAGCAACCCAGGGCACAGAUGGAUACAGAGGCUGUGGUGUUUUCAAGGUUGCAGCAUGUUCCAAGACUAUGGCCUCAUGAAGGAACAGAAAAACCUCCUUAGGGACUCCAGGAAGAGCAGGGAAGGCUUGUGGAAAUGCCUACUGAAAGUUUUGCCAUUUGUUAGGGACAGCCAGAAGAUGUUGACUCUUCUGCCUUCUCUGCAGGAGUCUUCUGUGCAGUGAUGCUCACUGCAGCUGUGUCUGAUUUCCUGAAUGGUGUGCAAGGACAUGUUAAGAUCCACAGUUUUUCCUCAGCAAAUUGCAACAGAAGCCUGAACAGACAAAUGGACUCUGCGGUGAGGUUCAGGUGAGUAUCUGGUUGGCAGUAUCAAGUCCUAUAAUUGCUACAGCCUCCAGUAAAAUUAAUUUGUAAGCCAUUGGCUUUCUAAAGGCCAGACGUCUACAAUUACUUUUUUUCUUCUUUGUGCCAAGAUGCAUUCUUUCAAGAAAAAAAUAUCACUAAGCAAAGGGCACCUGUCUAAAAUUACUAAGGCUCAAGUAAGAGAUUUGCAGAUCAACUUUGCUGCCCUUUUCCCCCUGCAGUAAAACUAUAUGCUUUGUCUACUGAGAACAAGAGAAAAUGACCUUGCCUUGAUUUGUGAACUUUAAAAAAUGCUAAAAUGAUAUCUGCAAGGAAAUAGAAUGCAAAACUGCCCUUCAGCUAUGAAGACUAUUUUUUCUUGUUUCUUAAAAAGAAAAUGACGAUGCCAUAAACAUAUCUGUCUUUAUUUAUUUUUUGGUCCUCUGUUCUUCCUCAAAAUAAUUAUUGCAACGAUUUAUUUACACCAUAUAUUGAUUUACACUUUAAGUAAAACCAAUAUAUUUGCAAAAGGAAAAAAAUGACACUUGAAUUUGUUUAUUUCAGUUGUAUUUAGACAUAGUCAGAAACUAGAAUUUACAACCUACGUGGGUUUCUGGAAUAUCUGUAUUUCAUUUUGGCCUUACUCAGUAUAAAAAGCCUAACUAUCAUUGAUGGAAUAAAAUGCUGUAAAACAAUUUGAUUUAGAAAUAC
ensembl:lncRNA